rnacentral:rRNA from 1 species
GAUGAACGCUGGCGGCGUGCCUAAUACAUGCAAGUCGAGCGAACGGACGAGAAGCUUGCUUCUCUGAUGUUAGGGGCGGACGGGUGAGUAACACGUGGAUAACCUACCUAUAAGACUGGGAUAACUUCGGGAAACCGUAGCUAAUACCGGAUAAUAUUUUGAACCGCAUGGUUCAAAAGUGAAAGACGGUCUUGCUGUCACUUAUAGAUGGAUCCGCGCUGCAUUAGCUAGUUGGUAAGGUAACGGCUUACCAAGGCAACGAUGCAUAGCCGACCUGAGAGGGUGAUCGGCCACACUGGAACUGAGACACGGUCCAGACUCCUACGGGAGGCAGCAGUAGGGAAUCUUCCGCAAUGGGCGAAAGCCUGACGGAGCAACGCCGCGUGAGUGAUGAAGGUCUUCGGAUCGUAAAACUCUGUUAUUAGGGAAGAACAUAUGUGUAAGUAACUGUGCACAUCUUGACGGUACCUAAUCAGAAAGCCACGGCUAACUACGUG